rnacentral:rRNA from 1 species
AGAGUUUGAUCAUGGCUCAGAUUGAACGCUGGUGGCAGGCCUAACACAUGCAAGUCGAGCGGAAACGACACUAACAAUCCUUCGGGUGCGUUAAUGGGCGUCGAGCGGCGGACGGGUGAGUAAUGCCUAGGAAAUUGCCUUGAUGUGGGGGAUAACCAUUGGAAACGAUGGCUAAUACCGCAUAAUGCCUACGGGCCAAAGAGGGGGAUCUUCGGACCUCUCGCGUCAAGAUAUGCCUAGGUGGGAUUAGCUAGUUGGUGAGGUAAUGGCUCACCAAGGCGACGAUCCCUAGCUGGUCUGAGAGGAUGAUCAGCCACACUGGAACUGAGACACGGUCCAGACUCCUACGGGAGGCAGCAGUGGGGAAUAUUGCACAAUGGGCGAAAGCCUGAUGCAGCCAUGCCGCGUGUAUGAAGAAGGCCU